rnacentral:rRNA from 1 species
GAUGAACGCUAGCUACAGGCUUAACACAUGCAAGUCGAGGGGUAACAAGAGGAAAGCUUGCUUUCCUUGUUGACGACCGGCGCACGGGUGAGUAACGCGUAUCCAACCUGCCUAUAACUAGGGAAUAACCUUGCGAAAGUAAGACUAAUACCCUAUGAUUUCCUUUGAUGACAUCAGAUUAGGAAUAAAGAUUUAUCGGUUAUAGAUGGGGAUGGGUCUGAUUAGCUUGUUGGCGGGGUAACGGCCCACCAAGGCAACGAUCAGUAGGGGUUCUGAGAGGAAGGUCCCCACAUUGGAACUGAGACACGGUCCAAACUCCUACGGGAGGCAGCAGUGAGGAAUAUUGGUCGAUGGGCGGAAGCCUGAACCAGCCAAGUAGCGUGCAGGAUGACGGCCCUAUGGGUUGUAAACUGCUUUUAUACAGGAAUAAAGUUAGCCACGUGUGGUUAUUUGUAGGUACUGUAUGAAUAGGGACCGGCUAAUUCCGUGCCAGCCGCCGCCGUAA